GGAGUGGCUGCCACCCGCGAAACGGCAACCGUGUUCUGGAUUCGUCCACUCGUGUCGCUACCUGCCGGCCACGCACUGCCUCCACCGACCGCCACGUGUCAGCUGAGGCCACCGGAUCCCCGCCCGUGUCCGCCGUCCCCACGGUCGCCGGUCGAUAUAAACCCCCACGGAACGCUGCAGCCCUCAGGGAGUCUCCGAAGCUCCCCUCGAACUUUGCCCGGUCGAUCGAACCGAUUCCCCACCCAAUCCCUCGAUAAAGGAAAUUUGUUGAUACUGUUGCUAUCUCAUGGUGUCUGGUAGUGGAGAGAAGAUGGAGGUUGAACCAGAACUUGUGAUGUGCUGGAAGGACCUUCCGAUGGAGCUGCUGCUGCGUAUUCUUUCCCUUGUCGACGACCGAAUGGUGAUCGUGUCUUCAACCGUUUGUACUGGCUGGAGAGACGCAAUCGGCUUUGGGCUUACAAGUCUCUCUUUAUCGUGGUGCAAAAACAACAUGAACAACCUUGUGCGGUCACUUGCUCCCAAGUUCACGAAGCUUCAAGUUUUAACUCUUCGACAAAAUAAUGCACCUCAACUUGAGGACAGUGCUGUUGAGGCAGUUGCUAAUUACUGCCAUGACCUGAGGGAACUAGACCUUAGCAAAAGCCUUAGGCUGACUGACCAGUCUUUGUAUGCUCUAGGCCAUGGAUGUCCCCGCCUAAAUAAACUGAAUAUCAGUGGAUGCUCUGCUUUUACCGACUCUGCCCUUGCAUAUCUUGCUAGUUGCUGUCGAAACCUGAAAACCUUGAAUCUCUGUGGAUGUGCGAGAGCUGCUACUGACAGAGCUUUACAAGCUGUAUCACGUCAUUGCAGUGAGCUUCAGUCUUUGAAUCUAGGUUGGUGUGAGAGUGUCAGUGACAAAGGAGUCACCAGUUUGGCAGCUGGUUGCCCAAAUCUCAGGGCAUUGGACUUGUGUGGCUGUGUCCUCAUAACAGAUGAGAGUGUGAUUGCCAUAGCAAAUUGCUGCCCUCAUCUCAGAUCACUGGACUUGUAUUAUUGUCAGAACAUCACAGACAGGGCAAUGUACUCGCUCGCAAAUAGCUGCAUGAAAAGCCGGUACGGGUUGUGGCGAGACGAUGCUGGCAGCAGUAACGGCAAUGACAACACUGGGCUGGUGAACCUUAACAUCAGCCAGUGCACAGCACUGACGGCUGCCGCCGUCCAAGCCGUGUGCGAUACAUUCCCAUUGCUGCACACCUGCCCAGGGAGGCAUUCACUCAUCAUCAGCGGUUGCCUCAGCCUCACUUCUGUGCGCUGUGCUUGUGCCAUCCAUGCUCACCGUGCAGGCAGAGCUUCUCUAGCAGACCACGCCUACUGAGGACCAUGUCUUAGCAAGAUACUCUGAAAGGAGUGGUGUGUAGUUGAAGGUAUAACAAGGUAGCAACCAAGUCCCAUGAUAAAUUUCUCACAAUCUCAUUGAUAUAUAUUCUCAUCAGAUUUCUUACAAAUUAGAUCCUGAUAGGGGUUUCUAAUGCCAUAGCCUAAUGAACUUUACAUUCUGACAUUGAAGAAUUCCAUCACCCAUAUCAAGAAGAUUAUGGUGUAAGUAGGCUGGUUCUACGCCCUAGCAAUUGGUAAAACAACUUUCCCUGAUCUCAUUUAUAGUACAAUGCAGAAACUUUGUGCUCUACAAUGAGCAGAACUCCAGAGCAAACAAGUUUCUGACGGUCAUCAAGUUUCUUGUCGGGUAAACAUUAAACCAGUCAUACACUAGUAUACAGUAAGGAGGACAUAGAAAUAGCUGCUGAAGUUGGGAAUAUUGUGGAUUA